GAUGAACGCUGGCGGCGUGCCUAACACAUGCAAGUCGAGCGUGAUUCUUAUGAGUGGCGACUUCGGUCAAAGCGAGUAAGAUGAAAGCGGCGGACGGGUGAGUAACGCGUGGGCAACCUGCCCCAUACAGGAGGAUAGCCACUGGAAACGGUGAUUAAUACUCCAUAAGACCACAGCACCGCAUGGUGCAGUGGCCAAAGAUUUAUCGGUAUGGGAUGGGCCCGCGUCUGAUUAGCUAGUUGGUGAGGUAAUGGCUCACCAAGGCGACGAUCAGUAACCGACCUGAGAGGGCGGACGGUCACACUGGAACUGAGACACGGUCCAGACUCCUACGGGUGGCAG
rnacentral:rRNA from 1 species